rnacentral:rRNA from 1 species
GACGUAGGAGGCGAGCGUUGUCCGGAUUCAUUGGGCGUAAAGAGCGCGCAGGCGGCUUGGUAAGUCGGAUGUGAAAUCCCGAGGCUCAACCUCGGGUCUGCAUCCGAUACUGCCCGGCUAGAGGUAGGUAGGGGAGAUCGGAAUUCCAGGUGUAGCGGUGAAAUGCGUAGAUAUCUGGAGGAAUACCGGUGGCGAAGGCGGCAUCCUGGACCAUUACUGACGCUGAGGCGCGAAAGCUAGGGGAGCAAACGGG